rfam:Gongylonema pulchrum genome assembly, scaffold: GPTH_scaffold0001322
GAACCUGUGGUGUAGUGGUAACACAUUCCGUCCGGGCGUGAAGAGGAGUGGUUCGAUUCCUUCCUGGUCCA